rnacentral:lncRNA from 1 species
GACGAGUUGAUUAGCUGAACAACAAACAAGAGGUUACGACAAGCUUUGGUCGAGAGUUAAUAAAUAUUUUAGCGACGCCAGCAUGCGGACGUCGUUUACGUUGCUUGUGUGUUGCCACACGCUGGAAAUUUACGUUCCGGCGACUACGCGGUAAAGUUCGCCAAAGCGGUUAGCCUUGGCCGCUGCAACGUAGCCGCACGCGCGGACGGACAGUCGUACGGUGUCUUCGCAGGUGUCGUUUUUCACGUUUGCCUCAACAUAGAGAAUCGCCCUGCGGUGUGUUUUGGCAGUCACUGCGCAACGGUAAGUUUACUACCAACCAACUUGCAUCGGACUUCCAUGGAGAUUGCCGAGCGGGCAGCAUUGAUUGCAUCCUGUCUGCUGCUGGUUUCGGUAGCCCUAGUGGGUGUUCUCUGGUGCGCAUGCCGACGUUCGCAACUGGGCAGCACUGUCCCUAUGGCAGCCAUCACUGAGACCGUGACGCAGGCCGUUGUAAGAGUGGUCCUCUGAAAUAAGGUGGACUGGUGGUAGAAGUACAACGAGGCCAUGGUGGUAUCUGUAAUCACUGGCGUCAUCAUUGCCGUUGUGAUAGUAAUUGUGCUAGUACUCCUUGGGAUCCUCUACCGGUACUGUCGCUCUCCAGAGAAGCACACAGCCCCCGUGAAGUACAAGAAGCAUAAGAAGAGCCACGGUUACAAACGUAGCGGCUUUGGCUACGGCUCCUACUACCCUCCUGGUGGCUGGUCUUCUGACAUUGGUCACUCCAGCAGCGAUGAGGAAGCUGGUCGGGGCGCUGACAGCGGCCACGAAAGUUUUGGCCACGAUAGCGCUGGACAUGAUAGCGGCGGCCAUGGCAGUGGGGGCCUUGAUAGCAGUUGUCAUGACAGUGGUGU